rnacentral:rRNA from 1 species
GUCCUAGCCCUAAACGAUGAAUACUUGGUGUCUGGAGUUUUUAUCCUCCGGGUGCCGUCGCUAACGUUUUAAGUAUUCCGCCUGGGGAGUACGCACGCAAGUGUGAAACUCAAAGGAAUUGACGGGGACCCGCACAAGCGGUGGAGCAUGUGGUUUAAUUCGACGCAACGCGAAGAACCUUACCUGGACUAGAAUGUGAGGGAAGGUCAUCUAAUAGUGACCGUCCGGGCAACCGGACCCGAACAAGGUGCUGCAUGGCUGUCGU